CGGACGAUGAGUUAACUGAUAUGAUGUAUGACAUGGAGUUUGGAGAACUGAUGAAAGACUGGAUAGAAGAUUGGUCAGAUGAUGAAAAUUCAGAUCGUGGAGAUAGGUCAGAGAAUGGGGACGAAUUGGAAGAUCUUAAUAUGGAUGAGCAUGAUGAUGGUCAGGAAAACAAUGAGCAUGAUAAUGGUGAGGAAAAUAACUCGGAGAUCUCGAAUGAAGAUUACAUUAGUCAGCUCAUUUCCGAAUGUCAUAAUGCGUACAACUAUUAAGGUGAAUCCGACACGGAGACAUGCCUUGAUGACGAAUCAUUAGCUGCACCUGAUUCUGGGGAGUCGCAGUCGUCGGUCAUCAUGAGUGAGGUGACAGAAGAUGAGGGAAAAAUGAAUGUCCAAGAUAUCGCCAGUGCAGAUGAUAAGAGGGAUAUGUUCAUGCAGAUAAUACAAAUGACUUUUACGUCUCACGAGGCUGCGUAUGAUUUCUACAACAGCUAUGCUAGAGAUAAUGGUUUCAGCAUUAGAAAGAAUAAGGUCAGGUAUAGCAAAACUGAAUCACGUCAUAUGCGUUAUAGGCGGUUUGUUUGUUCCAGACAAGGAAAACGUGAUAGCAGGUUGCUAACCGAGGAAGGACACAGCCGUAGGCUCAGACCGAGACACACUGCCACUACGAAGCGCACCUGACCGUGAAGCUUGACCAAAAGCAUGGGGUCUGGUAUGUUGAAAGUUUUGAGGACAAGCAUAGCCAUAUCUUGGCAGGACCGGACGAGGUACCUUUUCUUUGGUCCCACAGAAAAAUCAAAUAGUACCAGAGAGCUGAGAUACUGUCCAUGGGAGCUGCAGGGAUUAGAAUUCACGACAUGAUGGAUUCCUUCAUCAGCAAACAUGUAUGGUAUGAUGGUGUUGGUUUUACCAGGCGUGAAAUAUACAACCUUUGUGCCAGGGAGAAGAGGAAGCUGCUUUCAAAAGGUGAUGCUGCCACAGUCAUAUGCAUCAUGGCCAGUAGGAAACAAAGGGAUCCUAGCUUCUUUUUCGAGUACAAGGUAGAUAAGGAAGGACAUAUGAAUAGGAUGUUCUGGUGUGACUCCCAUUCUCGUCAUGACUAUGAGGACUUCGGCGACGUGCUUGUAUUUGAUAACACGUGCAAGA